UACGGAGGGGGCUAGCGUUGUUCGGAAUUACUGGGCGUAAAGCGCGCGUAGGCGGCUUUGUAAGUUAGAGGUGAAAGCCCGGAGCUCAACUCCGGAAUUGCCUUUAAGACUGCAUCGCUAGAAUCAUGGAGAGGUGAGUGGAAUUCCGAGUGUAGAGGUGAAAUUCGUAGAUAUUCGGAAGAACACCAGUGGCGAAGGCGACUCACUGGACAUGUAUUGACGCUGAGGUGCGAAAGCGUGGGGAGCAAACGGGG
rnacentral:rRNA from 1 species